GGGCCCCUGCGGCGCGUGGUGACGUGCGGCGCGGGCGCUGCGGCGGCGCCUGAGACCCCCCCGCCCCGGCGGUAGUGAGUCUCUGAGGUGUGCGGCUGGACCCGCUCGUGCCGCCUGGGCGUCUGCGUACGAGAGGCCCAGGUUGUGGCAGUGCGUGUGUGUUGUGGGGCCUGCGUUUGUGAUCGCGUUGUUUUGUGUGUGAGGGGAAACACCGCUUUUGGAUGUGUAUGUGUAGGCUCUGCGUGCUUUUGCACAACAGCAGAGUUGAGUAGCUGUGACACAAAUGUGUGUUGUCCACAGAACCUAAACUACCCUCUGGCCCUGGAUCCCAGCUUUUGUGAUUGUGGGGAGGGUGUGUGUGUGUGUGUGUGUGUGUGUGUAGGGAUCCCAGAAAAUAAACGUGCGUGUGCACAGGCUGCCGUUUGUGCAAGUGCACCCUGCGGACGUACGUGUGCGGCUGUUUUUGUGGUCGUGUGUGUGUGAGACCACUGUUGGCUCUGCGUGUGCAGACUCCGUUUUUGCGUUUUCGUUCCCGUUGCACCGUGAGCAUUCUCUCCCCACCCUCGCACCGCUCUCUGGCCCCAGCGCGCGUCCUUACUCAGCCUGAGUCUGACGCUCGGACGCCCGGGGCCGCGCCCGCGCCGGGUCCGACGCCAGGUCUCGGUGCGCAGGCCGGCUUCCAGGGCCCCGCCGCCUCGGGCUGGACUGACGCGCCGAGAGCGCCUGUGGAGGGUUGUUUUACUUCCGCCAUCACCAGUUGUCCUAAAGGGACGUGCUCGGGCAGGGACCGAUGAAGACGGGGAAGGGGCUCCCAGCUCCCACCGCCCCAGGGCCCGCGCGGCGUUCGCCAGCCUGGAAGCGCCCUCGACCCCCUCCCGUUGGCGGGGGGCUUCGUUAGGGAUUUUUUUCUUGGAGCAAGUUGCUUCCUGAACUGGAAGAUUCUUCUGAGUACCUGGUGGUGCUAGAACAAAGGGGAUGGCCAAGAAAACCAAGAAACCUCAAGAUAAACCUGCAAUUUGGCAGUUCUUUGGGUGUUUUCCUUAGACCACCUCCCAAGAAACUAUAGAACAAAGUGUUCUGGAGGAUUCAGGAAAGGAAAGAAAGGAUGUCUCUUUCUCUGAUAGAAGAGAGUCCUGCAGAGGGAUAUGCCGGCCACAUGUAGCCAUCUGCCUCUUGUCUUUAAUGAGCUGAGAGGACUUCCUGCUCUCAAGCCCACGAGGAGAAGGCCCAUUCAGUCACACAUACCAGCUCUUCGCAGACCCUGACUCAUGGAGCCUUUGAGCCAAGGGUAACAACUGCCUAUUUUGAGACAUUUUGUUGUGUGGUAAAAACAAACUCAUACUAGUCAGGUGUCCCACGACGUGUAGCCAUCUACAUCUGCAGUCCUACACUUGGUUUAUUUACACCUGUCCCAGGCAGAUCAGCAGGAAAAAUGAUUGCUUGCCCAAAAUGUUCUUAAGCAAACACAUGGGCAUACCUUUGGGCCACUGCGCAAACGCAUUUCAUAGCAUUCACUCUUUUUGUUUCCACUUUCAAUCCUCCCACAUCCCCCCAUCUCUCAUAUUCAUGUAUGUCAAAACUGUUGUUUCUCUUAUUCUCUAUGACAGUAGUUCCUUUAGCUGUGCUUUUCUUCGAAUCUCUCCUCUGCAUAGUGUCACCAUGCAGGUGGGGCAAACGGAAGAGUCAGCCUUAACUCAAAGUACAUCAGCAACUAUACUGCAUAUAUAAAGAGUAAGUGUUCCAGUCAAAAGGCAGAGACCGACAACCUGGGUACAAAAAAAAAUCAUAGGUUGUUUGAAGAAAACAACUCAUAUAUAAGGACACAGACAAGUUAAUCAUAAAAAAAAAAUGGGAAAAAUUUAUACUACGUUACUUACUCUGCUAAGAUUGGCCUGCUGUAACUAAACUAGAUGGCUUAUAAACAGCAGAAAUUAAUUUCCCACAGUCUGGAGGCCGGACAGGAGGCUGUUGGUGUUCCCAACCAACAGACGCAGGCACACUCUUGCAAAUCAUUUCAUUUUGUUGAACCACCUAUAUAAAAUGUACUCUUACCUACAACUCUGCCAGCCUAUUAUAUUUUGUGUCAUUGUACAACUAGGCAGACAGGCAGAACUUCAUGUCCUCAGAUGACCAAGGAUAGGCUCCUCUGUUUCCCACAGACCUAUAUUUUACUUCUCCAAUCACUACUGGAAAUUUAUGCUAUCGAUUGUGAUGUGAUAUGCAUGUGUGUAUAUGAGUAUAAUAUAAAACUGUAAACAUAAGCUAUAUAAACAAAAAC